rfam:Triticum urartu cultivar G1812 contig527022, whole genome shotgun sequence.
CAUAUACUCCCUCCAUUCCGAAUUACUUGUCGCGGAUAUGGAUGUAUCUAGAUGUAUUCUAGUUCUAAAUACAUCCAUUUCUGCGACGAGUAAUUUGGAACGGAGGGAGUAUAUC